CUUAUGUCAGUGUAACUUAUGUCUCUCAAGGGGCUGAGUAAAUCACCUCCUUGAGCAACAUAAGUUACACUGCUGUAAGUGCUGGCAUGGACAACCGCUUUCUGAGACUCAAGUAGUUAAGCUGACGGGAGAGCUCUCUCCUGGUGGGCUUAGAGAGGCUACAUUAGAGAGUUUAGAAUGGCACAGGUGCAUAGGUGCAGCUGUGCCACUGUAAACUCUCUAGUGUAGCCGUGGAUGACGAAGUUGGGGAUUUUUGUAGGGUUUUACAUGAAUAGUGUGUGUGUGCCUCAGUUUCCCUGUGUGCUGCAUGUUUAACAAAGUGGUGGGAGAGGGUUUGUUGUUGCAGAGGACCAGCUGCGAGCUUGCCUAGCAGCCAAGACCCCGGACAACAGCCUGGAUAUGGGGUAAACUAAAAACUGGUGACCUGGUGACUAAGAGGCUCACCCCAGCUUGGCCGUCAGCUGGUUUUGGCCAACGGGAGGACAAUGGGCUGAGGAGAGAGGACCCCAGUGACCUGACCAACCAGUUCCAGCCAAAGGGUAAAAAAGGACUGAAGAGAGAAGGCCCGAGCCACCUGUUUACCUGGGACGGAAGACAAAGGAGAGGGGAGGAGCUGUUGGGGGGAGUAUGAUCAGCUGGAAAGAGCAGGGUCCCCGGACUGGAGAGAGAGAGCAGGAAGAGCCCACCUGGAUGUAGGGGAGACUUAGAUGUACUGUGCUGAGGGAGGCCAGACCUGAGGGAACUGAGAAUUUCCUGUGCUGUGUUCAGACGCUCAAUAAAGCCCCCUGUUUUACGCUGGCUAGAGUUGUUCUGGUUUAGAGAACAGGGUUCCAUUAUUCCCUCAGGGAGUGGAGAGCCCGGGGGUCUAGAGCGGGUGAACUCCCUGAGGGGGCAUAUGGCGAGAGAGAGGCAUGCUAAGGCUCAGAGAGGUGCGGUUUCAGGAGGUGGAGGGGCUUAACCCCUAAGGGAGAGUGCACCCCCAAGAAGGGCUGUCACACUGAAGGGGGUUCCCCCCAGGGACCCUACGGGGCCAAGAGUGGGCACGACCUGUGAGUCCGUGACACCGUGCCCUAAAUCAUUUUCUGUUCUUCCGGUCCUUACUCCUUCUCUCUCUUCACCCUCCUGGUGUUCUUUUCUCCUUCUUGUCUCUGUCCCAUAACCUCACUUUUCAUUUCUUUCUCUUUCCCCCUUUUCACUCCUCUUCUUUCACACCUUCCCUUCCCCAUUCUCCCUGUCUCCUCAUUCACUCCUCCCUCUCUUUCUCCUCCCUUCAAUGGAAUGAAAUUGGGCAAUGGGAGCCAUUUCAAGCUGGAUGUAGGAGACCUUUCCGUCCUUUUGUGCUCUUCUGCUUUCUCCCCUCUGUCUCCUCCCCUCACUUCUCCUCUUUUAUCUCAUUCCUCACUUCCCUUCCUUAUUUCUACACCUCUUCUCUCUCAUUCCCCAGAAUCUCUCCCCCUUUACAAAUUAAGGGCCUGGUCUCAAGGCUGUUUCCCGGCAACAUCUGUGGACCCCAAAAUUAGUUUUUCCCUGGAGUACAACAAUUCCAGCCCCAGGGACAGCACCACUGACUUCUGCCUUGUAGGUAGCCAUAGUGCAGGAGACAACAGGGCCACAAUAUGACCCCCAGCCUGCCAGCCCUAUUGGUCAGAGACUACUCCUUUCAAUCCUCUCUCUCUUCAUUAUGGCCAAUACUGAGCUGGGCACAUGUAUUUCAGAUUAGAAAGCAGCAUAAUUUUCUAACAAUGAGCUUGUUAGACUGUUGGAUUGUGCCACUCCACCAUUAACAGCCAGCAGAGGAAGCUAGUACAUGCUUUAGCAGCUCUCACAUAUUCCUCCCAGCAGGGGGCAGUGGUGUAUAGACACACAAGCCAGGCCAUGGCCAGAUGGAUUCUGCAGGGUUCAGUGACAACAAUAACCCCCCGUACUCUCUGCUGAUACUGUCGGGCUUAUGGGAACCAAGAAUAGGACACGCAGCCUUUCACCCCAGGUUACAGGACUGAUUUCACUCAGGCUGGGAGUUACUGACUCUGAAGCUAUUCUGGUCUUUGGUCAUAUCCCAGGUGUAGGUUUCUGAGUGCAGUGCAAUGAAUCGCUCUCUAAAAAAUUGUGUUAUUUCUGAUCCAGGCUUGGUGAUGGACACAAAGAGCCCGAGAAACAGAGACACACAAGGAACUCUGCUUUCACUUGACUGGCUGUACUUCUGUAGACUUGAUUUGACUUCAGUGGGGUUACUCCUCACUUACAUCGGGGACAGUGAGAACAGAAUAAGACCUAAAGAGAGAGAAAACCAGAAACAUGCAGAGAGAGACACAAAUGGAAACACAAAUGGGUGGGGCUGGAGGAUUUGUAGCCCUGUUGGCAGCUGGAGAUCACUUGUAAAGUGUAUUAGCCCAUCCCCUUCACUCCCCCUAAGGGACAGACAGAUGGUAACUCACAUCGUGGAGGAAACAGAACUGGGAGACACUACUGCAGGGAUGUGGAGACAUCUCCUCCCUGUACUGCUCAUCUGGGUCCCAGGUGUGGGCUCAGCAUAUGUGGAGCAGUUGCCCUUCCUUACUGGGAGCCAAGGACAGUCCCUAGUUCUGCAGUGUACACUGAAACAGUCCAACUGUGACCGGAUGUUCUGGUACCGGCAGCAGGGAAGCAGGGAGCUGGAAGGGCUUUUCUACUCUUAUGGAGACCAAUUGGUGAACUUCACAGCCGAGCUCUUGACCGCCCAGAGGAGCAACAAAAACUGGGAACUAAAAUGGAACAAACUUUCACUGUCAGACUCAGCUGUGUAUUACUGCACCUGCAGCACUGCACAGUGACACAAAGCCCUGAGACAGCCAGCAAAAUCCCAGAGAGACAGAGAGAGGGGAGGAAAUAGAGGGAGCUGUGUGUGCUUAGACGUUGGAAGGACAAUGCAGGGGUGUACUUCCAAGAUGAAGUGUCUGGAACAUACAUUGUCUCCAGAAGGAGUGUAAGGGUCAUCAGGAACCCCCACACCAGAUCAGUGACCAUGUUGCACACUUGAGAUGUAAUUGGCUCUAUUAAGAGCAAUGGGAGUUUUGCCCUAAUGGGACCAGGAUUUCAUUGUUGGUCUCUUGAAAUUGGACUUUGAUCACUAUUGCUAACACUUUUCUUUCUUCCUUGACAUUUUCUUCCAUUUCUUUCCUAUUCUCUCUCACUAUUCCCUUUGCUCCAGCUCUCUCACUUUCCAUUUCUUUCUCUUCAUUUUUUCUAUUUCUUUAAAUUAAACCCCCAAAUCCAGUUGCUGGACCCCAACCCUCGCCCUGUGGUUUGGUCUCACUGUGUCUCUGGGGACUGUUCUGACCUGACUGUAAUGCCUUAUUCACAUGAUUGCUGAGCCAUGGAUGUCUAAGCAGGGGGAUAUGGAGUAAGAACAGGGAGGUGGUAUCAGCAAUGCUGUACACAGAGUUGAGACCAUUACUGGAAUUACCUGCCUAGUCCACAAUUCAACAAGGAUGAUGAUAAAUUGGUGAUGAUUCAGAGAAGAGCCACGAGAAUGAUUAAAGGAUUAGAAAACCUGCCUUAUAAUGAUAGACUCAAGGAGCUCAAUCUUAAAAAGAAGGUUAAACGGUGACUGGAUUACAGUCUAUAAAUACCUAUGAUGGGGAAAAUAUUUGAUAUUGGUCUCUUCAAUCUAGCAGAGAAAGGCAUAACCUGAUCCAGUGGCUGGAAGUUGAAGUCACAUAAACUCCGACUGGAAUUAAGGCAUAAUUUUUUAACAGUGAGAGUAAUUAACCCUUGGAACAAUUUACCAGGGGUCAUGGUGGAUUCUUCAGUGCAGCACUGCAAGACAGGAUAGACUGGACAAGGUGCAUUGGUGUACUGUGUUCACAUGAAAUUCUCACUGUAUUCUGGGAGAUGGCAUGCGCCUGAGUUCCUCAAGGUUUAGCAAUUCCUUCUACUGUCCAGGGGGCAGAGCAGUUCCUCUCAGUAUGGGAGUGUCACACACAAACAGCAGGCACGCUGAGCUAGCACAUUUAUCAGUAGUGUUACCUCUGGUCACGCCUAUUUACUAGUACACUCGUCCUCUCCCCUCCCCCAGGAUCUGAAACCCCCUUCCUCCCAGACACCUCCCAGUGAGGAUGCUGACAGGACAUGGAGCUGCUGCAGCUCCUCUCUCUGCUUAUAGGGCUGUUGGCCACUGCCCUCUCAGGUGCAACAGGCAGAUUAGUGGAGCAGUCACCCCCCUAUUUCAUGGUGAGGCCAGAAGUGUCACAGUCAGUGACCUGCACCUUGAAGGACACGACCUACAUCUGGAUGAGCUGGUACUGGCAGGAUGCCCAAGGCCAUCUGCACUUCCUGGUGCAAUCAGGAACCAAGGGUGACAAGGAGGAAAUAAUCCAGGAGGGAACUUCCUAUCGGUAUGAGCGGGUCAGUAACACAGAGCUCAGGUUGGAGAUGCAGAAUGUGACUCAGUCGCAGACCAUCUACUGCACCUGCAGUAAGGGCACAGUGAGAGAUUAGAGUGGAGAUGGUGACAAAAACCUCCCCUAGUUCCAAGAAGGGGGAAUCACAGCCCAGCACCCAGAGUCUGAAACAAAGAGGCUGCAGGGGAACUGAUUAGUUAUCCAGCAGGAAGGAGAUGGAAUAACACCAACUGUGCAGAGACUCGUCAAGGGAGACCCUUUCUCAAUGUCAGGGGCACUGUUAUCAUUUACAUCAACAGCAGCCCACUCUGAACAUGCUGCUAACUCUCUCCUUUAGGUCCCCUCAGGGGUGCUGGAACAGUUUGUAUAGUGGGGGUGCUGAAAGCCUCUGAACCAAACUUUAAACCCUGUAUAUGAUGGAAACCACUUCAAUCCAGGAGGUGCAGCAGCACCCCCAGUUCCAGCACCUAUGGUUCCCCACACACAGGACACACCUGCCCUCUGGUUAUGUGUGCUCUAUUCUGUUUCCCACACACUUUGAUCAGCUCUGCCAGCCGGUCACUAGAGGGAGCCAGGAUAAGAACUGGAAUGCGUUACCUAGGGAGGUGGUGGAAUCUCCAUCCUUAGAGGUUUUUACGGUCAGGCUUAACAAAGCCCUGGCUGGGAUGAUUUAGGUGGUGUUGGUCCUGCUUUGAG